UACGUAGGGGGCGAGCGUUAUCCGGACUCAUUGGGCGUAAAGCGCGCGUAGGCGGCCGCCUAAGCGGAACCUCUAACCCCGGGGCUCAACCUCGGGCCGGGUUCCGGACUGGGCGGCUCGAGUGCGGUAGAGGAGAGCGGAAUUCCCGGUGUAGCGGUGGAAUGCGCAGAUAUCGGGAAGAACACCGAUGGCGAAGGCAGCUCUCUGGGCCGUCACUGACGUUGAGGCGCGAAAGCUGGGGGAGCGAACAGG
rnacentral:rRNA from 1 species